UACAGAGGGGGCAAGCGUUAUUCGGAAUUAUUGGGCGUAAAGGGCGCGUAGGCGGCUUUGCAAGUGACGGGUGAAAGCCCUCGGCUUAACCGAGGAACUGCCUGUCAGACUGUGAGGCUUGAGACCGGGAGAGGUGAGUGGAAUUCCCAGUGUAGCGGUGAAAUGCGUAGAUAUCUGGAGGAACACCGGUGGCGAAGGCGGCAUCCUGGACCGGCAUUGACGCUGAGGCGCGAAAGCUAGGGGAGCGAACGGG
rnacentral:rRNA from 1 species